rnacentral:rRNA from 1 species
GCAGUCGAACGGUAACAGGGAAAAGCUUGCUUUUCUGCUGACGAGUGGCGAACGGGUGAGUAAUACAUCGGAACGUGCCCUGUAGUGGGGGAUAACUACUCGAAAGAGUGGCUAAUACCGCAUACAACCUGAGGGUAAAAGUGGGGGACCGCAAGGCCUCACGCUAUAGGAGCGGCCGAUGGAAGAUUAGGUAGUUGGUAGGGUAAAGGCCUACCAAGCCGACGAUCUUUAGCGGGUCUGAGAGGACGAUCCGCCACACUGGGACUGAGACACGGCCCAGACUCCUACGGGAGGCAGCAGUGGGGAAUUUUGGACAAUGGGGGCAACCCUGAUCCAGCAAUGCCGCGUGAGUGAAGAAGGCCUUCGGGUUGUAAAGCUCUUUUGUUUGGGAAGAAAUCCCUAAGGAUAAUACCCUUGGGGGAUGACGGUACCAAAAGAAUAAGCACCGGCUUAACUACGUGCCAGCAGCCGCGGUAAUACGUAGGGUGCAAGCGUUACUCGGAAUUCACUGGGGCGUAAAAGAGCGUGUAGGCGGGGUAUAUAAGUCAGAAGUGAAAUCCAAUAGCUUAACUAUUGAACUGCUUUUGAAACUGUAUACCUAGAAUGUGGGAGAGGUAGAUGGAAUUUCUGGUGUAGGGGUAAAAUCCGUAGAGAUCAGAAGGAAUACCGAUUGCGAAGGCGAUCUACUGGAACAUUAUUGACGCUGAGACGCGAAAGCGUGGGGAGCAAACAGGAUUAGAUACCCUGGUAGUCCACGCCCUAAACGAUGCACACUAGUUGUUGUGAGGCUCGACCUUGCAGUAAUGCAGUUAACACAUUAAGUGUGCCGCCUGGGGAGUACGGUCGCAAGAUUAAAACUCAAAGGAAUAGACGGGGACCCGCACAAGCGGUGGAGCAUGUGGUUUAAUUCGACGAUACACGAAGAACCUUACCUGGACUUGACAUAGUAAGAACUUUUCUAGAGAUAGAUUGGUGUCUGCUUGCAGAAACUUAUAUACAGGUGCUGCACGGCUGUCGUCAGCUCGUGUCGUGAGAUGUUGGGUUAAGUCCCGCAACGAGCGCAACCCUCGUCAUUAGUUGCUAACAGUUCGGCUGAGAACUCUAAUGAGACUGCCUACGCAAGUAGGAGGAAGGUGAGGACGACGUCAAGUCAUCAUGGCCCUUACGUCCAGGGCUACACACGUGCUACAAUGGGGUAUACAAAGAGCAGCAAUACGGUGACGUGGAGCAAAUCUCAAAAAUAUCUCCCAGUUCGGAUUGGAGUCUGCAACUCGACUCCAUGAAGUCGGAAUCGCUAGUAAUCGCGGAUCAGAAUGUCGCGGUGAAUACGUUCCCGGGUCUUGUACACACCGCCCGUCAAACCAUGGGAGUGGGUCUCACCAGAAGUAGGUAGCCUAACCGUAAGGAGGGCGCU